rnacentral:rRNA from 1 species
UGGGGAAUUUUGGACAAUGGGGGAAACCCUGAUCCAGCCAUCCCGCGUGUGCGAUGAAGGGCUUCGGGUUGUAAAGCACUUUUGGCAGGAAAGAAACGUCAUGGGUUAAUACCCCGUGAAACUGACGGUACCUGCAGAAUAAGCACCGGCUAACUACGUGCCAGCAGCCGCGGUAAUACGUAGGGUGCAAGCGUUAAUCGGAAUUACUGGGCGUAAAGCGUGCGCAGGCGGUUCGGAAAGAAAGAUGUGAAAUCCCAGAGCUCAACUUUGGAACUGCAUUUUUAACUACCGGGCUAGAGUGUGUCAGAGGGAGGUGGAAUUCCGCGUGUAGCAGUGAAAUGCGUAGAUAUGCGGAGGAACACCGAUGGCGAAGGCAGCCUCCUGGGAUAACACUGACGCUCAUGCACGAAAGCGUGGGGAGCAAACAGG